GGCGUGCUAAUACAUGCAAGUCGAACGCUUCUUUCCUCCCGAGUGCUUGCACUCAAUUGGAAAGAGGAGUGGCGGACGGGUGAGUAACACGUGGGUAACCUACCCAUCAGAGGGGGAUAACACUUGGAAACAGGUGCUAAUACCGCAUAACAGUUUAUGUCGCAUGGCAUAAGAGUGAAAGGCGCUUUCGGGUGUCGCUGAUGGAUGGACCCGCGGUGCAUUAGCUAGUUGGUGAGGUAACGGCUCACCAAGGCCACGAUGCAUAGCCGACCUGAGAGGGUGAUCGGCCACACUGGGACUGAGACACGGCCCAGACUCCUACGGGAGGCAGCAGUAGGGAAUCUUCGGCAAUGGACGAAAGUCUGACCGAGCAACGCCGCGUGAGUGAAGAAGGUUUUCGGAUCGUAAAACUCUGUUGUUAGAGAAGAACAAGGACGUUAGUAACUGAACGUCCCCUGACGGUAUCUAACCAGAAAGCCACGGCUAACUACGUGCCAGCAGCCGCGGUAAUACGUAGGUGGCAAGCGUUGUCCGGAUUUAUUGGGCGUAAAGCGAGCGC
rnacentral:rRNA from 1 species